UCAAUUUGAUUUAAUGAUUUCUGUUUAUGUGCAUAUUAUGUGUUUGUGAAAAUUCGUCGAUUUACUGAUUACCAGCGAUGUCUAUUUUGAAAUGGCCGUUGUGUAUGAGCCGACGCUAUAUGUAUAUUUCCGUUUCUGCCUCAGAAAAUUUUCCAUUGGCUCUUUAAAAAGCUGCUUGAAUCAGAUAUGGAGAUGAUAUAUUGCCUGUAGGAACUACGUAGCUGCGGCAUCCAGUACAGGGCUGCUCGGUUACCAAUCUUGCCAUCCUCUGGAGUUGAUACAUUGCCCGUAGGAAUUAUGUAGCUGCUAGAUAGAUCUAAAGGUGGAGUAAAAAUGGAAGACGGAGGCGGUGAUGAAGAUCUUUUCCUGCAUCUCUAGGAAUGUUACUUAAGAGAAUUUUGAAUUAUUGAUUGUUGUAGAUGCAUGUGACGGUUUCUAGGAAUGUUUCUUAUCAAGACAUUUUAAAACUUUUAACUCUUGAAAUAUCAAAUGUAUGUACUUGGUAACAUUUCAUCACUAUCUAUGGAUUUAUUAUCUUGUUGGACAA